GGAGCGCACGAGGAGGAGGAGGGGUGUUGGCGCGUGUGUUUCACACUCGCCUCCCUGGCGUUCGCGAGCUGACCCGAGGAGUGGUAAUCUCACGCGGCAAAGCAGGGAGGAAGAAAAAAAGGAGACAAAAGAACAAAAGACUUUUAUCUGGGCAGAAAGUCACAAUGCCUAGGGGCCAAACGUUUGUGAGCGGUGAAGUUGGUUGACUGCUCAAGUUUGCAGAGCUUCAGCAGUAGGUUACUUUCUCUGGACGGUUUCUGCUAUCUUUGCUCUUUUCGAGCUCUAGCAUCGUUUGCAAAUAUUUCAAUGACUUGGACCAAGUGCAGAGUUUUACUUCAUAGCUCACCCUUUUAGAUUCGGAGUACAGAAAAAGGCAUCGUGGAGUUUUAGGGUUGGUUUUCAUCAAUCCUUUCCAAGGCCUUUACUUUCUACAUGGAGAAACGUGUAGAGGGAGAGGUUGUGAAUUGCCAAAGACAUGCCGUUAGAUUCCAGAUCUCCUGUGUUUGACCAAAGUUCUUGACCAAAGUUCUUAAUAUCUUAUUUGAACCAAAUUAUAUUGUAUUUGGAAUAUUGGGUAGCCACAGGCUCUUGGACUUCAGUGAUAUUCCAAACUAUUGAUGGCAAAUGACAUUAUGGAGAUCUGAGUAAAAGAAAGUCGUUGGGAUUUUUUCCUCAUUAUAUUACAAACUCUUGAGAAUCCAGACUAAAUUUUAAAUGACUUGUUGUCACACUCAACACUUUGAAUAUAGUAGACAAUAAAGAUUAGGCGAAUGAGACCAGGCGCGGUGGCUUACGCCUGUAAUCCCAGCACUUUGGGAGGCCGAGGCAGGCAGAUCAUUUGAGAUCAGGAGUUCGAGACCAACCUGGCCAACAUGGUAAAACCCCGUCUCUACUAAAAAUACAAAAAUUAGCUAGGGGUGGUGGUGCCCGCCUAUAGUCCCAGCUGCUCCAGAGCCUGAGGCAGGAGAAUCUCUUAAACCCAGGAGGCAGACGUUGCAGUGUUGCAGUGUUGCAGUGAGCCGAGAUGCCACCACUGCACUUCAGCCUGAGCAACAAAGCAAGACUCUGUCUCAAAAAAAAAAAAAAAAAAGAUUAGGUGAAUGAAAAUUCUAUAUGGCAAUAAUUAAGAAGAUUUCAUGCAAGAAAGAUUUUGCUUAAUUUUAAAUAACAAUAAACUAACAAAAAAAGGUCACUGAAGUGACAUCAAAUACAACAGCAUUAACUAGUAAAGCUGAACACACCAUUUAUAACACAUCAUAGGCACAGAACUU
rnacentral:antisense_RNA from 1 species